ACGCCUGUGGCUCAGCAGCUAGGGCUCCAGCCACAUACACUGGAGUUUGCCGGUUCAAAUCCAGCCAGGCCUG
rnacentral:tRNA from 1 species